rnacentral:snoRNA from 1 species
UUGAACAUACUUUCAGGGAUCAUUUCUAUAGUUUGUUACCAGAAUAUUCUCAAUGUUGUUACUUCUGCAAUUCAAGCAGGAGAGAAGUGGUCAAUAGAAUAGGGGCAUGAAGAGGGGGUAAGGAUUGAG